CUAGAGCUGGCUGGAGAUGGGUACUUCUCUUCCCCUAGGUCAGUUAGGCUCUGGUAAAAUCCCACCAAGUUAGGCUUUGGUAAAAUAGUUUAUCUUGAUGAUAUGCCUUAUAAAGAAGGAGAGAAUGCUCUGGCAUAUUUCAAAAUGGUUACUUUUCUUCUUCCCCUAUUGGAAGCCCAGUGAGAUUUUUCUCAUUGAAAAUGAGUGUGAUAGAGCCUGGUAGAGCUCCUGGAGGUAGAACUCACAAAAGUGUUAGGCCCCCUGUUUAUUACUGUGCCCCUUGGGGUUUUUAUCUCUCAGGCUUGUUUACAUUAAGACUUCAGCAAUUCAUCAAUUACAGUGUACGUUUCUCUACCCUGGUAAUGGUUCCCACAAAGGUUCCUGCUCAGAUGGAGCUCAUACAGUCCAUUGAAGGCCUGAACAGAGCAAUAAGCCUGAGUAAGAGAGAAUUCCUCUCUCUGCCCGUCUUCAACCGGGGACAUUGGUCUUUUCUUGCCUUCAGACUCUGACAGGGUCUGGAACUUACACUAUCAACUCUCCUUGACUUCCAGCUUCCUGAGUGCAGCUUCCAUAUGCAACUACUCUUUUACCACCAAAAUCAUGUAAGCCAAUCUUCUAUUGAUUCUAUUUCUCCAAAGAAUUCUGACUAGUACAAUGACCUAUAUUUUCUCCAUGAUUCUCCUAUGGGAUUGAAUGAACAUUAUUUGGUUCUGUGGACUUUGCUGUCAGGCAGGAAGGGGCAACCUAUACAGAGCCUUUGGACUCCCUGAUAAGAAGAGAGGAAAUCUUAGGGAGACAAAAGCAACUAUAAUUUGCAAAGAAGACACCAAGAGAAAAAAGCUACUCGGAGAGGAAAUGAUACCAGGUAGAAAUGUGGAUC
rnacentral:lncRNA from 10 species